UUCCCUAUACAACUGACUAGGUAUCCCCCUUUCCCUAUACAACUGACUAGGUAUCCCCCUUUCCCUAUACAACUGACUAGGUAUCCCCCUUUCCCAAUACAACUGACUAGGUAUCCCUCUUUCCCUAUACAACUGACUAGGUAUCCCCCUUUCCCUAUACAACUGACUAGGUAUCCCCCUUUCCCUAUACAACUGACUAGGUAUCCCCUUUCCCUAUACAACUGACUAGGUAUCCCCCUUUCCCUAUACAACUGACUAGGUAUCCCCCUUUCCCAAUACAACUGACUAGGUAUCCCUCUUUCCCUAUACAACUGACUAGGUAUCCCCCUUUCCCUAUACAACUGACUAGGUAUCCCCCUUUCCCAAUACAACUGACUAGGUAUCCCCCUUUCCCAAUACAACUGACUAGGUAUCCCUCUUUCCUUAUACAACUGACUAGGUAUCCCCCUUUCUCUAUACAACUGACUAGGUAUCCCCCUUUCCCUAUACAACUGACUUGGUAUCCCCCUUUCCCUACACAACUGACUCGGUAUCCCCCUUUCCCUACACAACUGACUAGGUAUCCCCCUUUCCCUACACAACUGACUAGGUAUCCCCAUUCCCUACACAACUGACUAGGUAUCCCCCUUUCCCUACACAACUGACUAGGUAUCCCCCUUUCCCUACACAACUGACUAGGUAUCCCCCUUUCCCUACACAACUGACUAGGUAUCCCCCUUUCCCUAUACAACUGACUAGGUAUCCUGCUUUCCCUACACAACUGACUAGGUAUCCCCCUUUCCCUACACAACUGACUAGGUAUCCCCCUUUCCCUACACAACUGACUAGGUAUCCCCCUUUCCCUAUACAACUGACUAGGUAUCCCCCUUUCCCUACACAACUGACUAGGUAUCCCCUUUCCCUACACAACUGACUAGGUAUCCCCCUUUCCCUACACAACUGACUAGGUAUCCCCCUUUCCCUACACAACUGACUAGGUAUCCCCCUUUCCCUAUACAACUGACUAGGUAUCCUGCUUUCCCUACACAACUGACUAGGUAUCCCCCUUUCCCUACACAACUGACUAGGUAUCCCCCUUUCCCUACACAACUGACUAGGUAUCCCCCUUUCCCUACACAACUGACUAGGUAUCCCCCUUUCCCUAUACAACUGACUAGGUAUCCUGCUUUCCCUACACAACUGACUAGGUAUCCCCCUUUCCCUACACAACUGACUAGGUAUCCCCCUUUCCCUACGCAACUGACUAGGUAUCCCCCUUUCCCUAUACAACUGACUAGGUAUCCCCCUUUCCCUACACAACUGACUAGGUAUCCCCCUUUCCCUAUACAACUGACUAGGUAUCCCCCUUUCCCUACACAACUGACUAGGUAUCCCCCUUUCCCUACACAACUGACUAGGUAUCCCCCUUUCCCUAUACAACUGACUAGGUAUCCCCCUUUCCUUACACAACUGACUAGGUAUCCCCCUUUCCCUACACAACUGACUAGGUAUCCCCCUUUCCCUAUACAACUGACUAGGUAUCCCCCUUUCCCUAUACAACUGACUAGGUAUCCCCCUUUCCCUACACAACUGACUAGGUAUUCCCUUUUUCCUUUCCCCUUAUUCAUAUUUUUCAUAAUUUCAUAAUUAAUAAACUUUUUUUUAACACAGAAAAACAGUUGUCUCUAUGUCAAAUGGGGUCGUUACAUUUCAGUCUUCUGUGAUAAAGUGUUAUAUUGGUAUGCAAACUCAAAAUUGAAUACUAUUCAACUCUGUAUCUCACAUGUCUUCUUUUUGUAAGCCUAUAACCAUGUGAGUGAGGUGUAUACUUUUGUUUCAAAGUAGACUUGUUUAAGGCUACCAAGAAGCACUCUGUUUGAUGCUGAUUUAUCCCAGUGCAGUAAAAUUAACACACAAAUGGAGAAAUUACAGGGGGAAAGGUACAGGAAUGUUGGACCUGAUCCGGCCUUUUCAAAAUCACACACUGGUUGAACUCUCAUGAGUAGGCUGGCCAAGAUUCACCCUCACAGUUAGAAAUGGAGUGAAAAUGUCUCUACACUACACUGAGUAUUCACAGCUGGGUUGGAUGUGCUAGGUUGAAUUGCAGUGCAUUUGGAAAGUAUUCAGACCCCUUGACUUUUUGUUACAUUAUAGCCUUAUUCUAAAAUCUAUUAAAUUAGUUUCUUCCCUCGUCAAUCUACACACAAUACCCCAUAAUGGCAAAGCAAAAACAGAUUUAUUGAAAUUGUAGCAAAUGUAUUAAAAAUAAAAACAGAAAUACCUUAUUUACAUAAGUAUUCAGACCCUUUGCUAUGAGACUUAAAAUUGAGCUCAGGUGCUUCCUGUUUCCAUUGAUCAUCCUUGAGAUGUUUCUACAACUUGAUUGCAGUCCACCUGUGGUAAAUUCAAUUGAUUGGACAUGAUUUGGAAACGCACACACCUGUCUAUAUAAGGUCCCACAGUUGAUAGUGCAUGUCAGAGCAAAAACCAAGCCAUGAGGUCAAAGGAAUUUUCCGUAGAGCUCCGAGACAGGAUUGUGUCGAGGCACAGAUCUAGGGAAGUGUACCAAAAUGGGAAAAACUCCCCAAAUACAGGUGUGCCAAGCUUGUAGCGUCAUACCCAAGAAGACUCAAAGCUGUUAUCGCUGCCAAAGGUGUUUCAACAAAGUACUGAGUAAAAGGUCUGAAUACUUAUGUAAAUGUGAUAUUUCCGAUUUUUGUUUUUAAUAAAUUUGCAAAAAAUUCUAAAAACUUGCUUUUGCUUUGCCAUUAGUAUUGUAUUGUAUGUGGAUUGAUGAGGAGGGAAAAACAAUUUAAUCCAUUUUAGAUUAAGGUUAUAACGUAACAAAAUUUGGAAAAGGUCAAGGGGUCUGAAUACUUUCUGAAUGCACUGUAUAUACAGUGUUUGACUGUCUGCCAUAACUUUUGUGCCUUAUUAUAACUUCCUUGAACUUUGAUGUGCAGUAUUGAAAGGAAUGUUCCACCUUGUGCUUUUAGAUGGCCUGAUGAACUAUCCAUAUUUAUAAAUAAUGAUAUUGUAGAGAUGUGGAAACAGAACAGCAUACCUGCAGCAUUAGUGUAGAAAUAGGAACUGGACCAGAUUCAUGGUCUUUGAGCAUUUCAAAUGGAAACAACUAUCUGACAGAAUGACAUGUCAACACAACUUUCAUCGCCAUGUAAACAGAGAAACAGAGCAACUUUCAUCGCCAUGUAAACAGAGAAACAGAGCAACUUUCAUCGCCAUGUAAACAGAGAAACAGAGCAACUUUCAUCGCCAUGUAAACAGAGAAACAGAGCAACUUUCAUCGCCAUGUAAACAGAGAAACAGAGCAACUUUCAUCGCCAUGUAAACAGAGAAACAGAGCAACUUUCAUCGCCAUGUAAACAGAGAAACAGAGCAACUUUCAUCGCCAUGUAAACAGAGAAACAGAGCAACUUUCAUCGCCAUGUAAACAGAGAAACAGAGCAACUUUCAUCGCCAUGUAAACAGAGAAACAGAGCAACUUUCAUCGCCAUGUAAACAGAGAAACAGAGCAACUUUCAUCGCCAUGUAACCAGAGAAACAGAGCAACUUUCAUCGCCAUGUAACCAGAGAAACAGAGCAACUUUCAUCGCCAUGUAAACAGAGAAACAGAGCAACUUUCAUCGCCAUGUAAACAGAGAAACAGAGCAACUUUCAUCGCCAUGUAAACAGAGAAACAGAGCAACUUUCAUCGCCAUGUAAACAGAGAAACAGAGCAACUUUCAUCGCCAUGUAAACAGAGAAACAGAGCAACUUUCAUC